GACGAACGCUGGCGGCGUGCUUAACACAUGCAAGUCGAACGAAGUGGCGAACGGGUGAGUAAUACGUGGGUAACCUGCCCUCCUUUUUUGGAUAAGCCUUGGAAACGGGGUCUAAUACCGUAUCCAGGGGGAUGGGCUCGCGGCGUAUCCACUUGUUGGGGGGGUGAUGGCCUACCAAGGCGGUGACGGGUAGCCGGCCUGGGAGGGUGACGGGCCAGAUUGGGAAGGAGAUAAGGACCAGACGCCGACGGGAGGCAGCAGGGGGGGAUAUGGCACAAUGGGCGAAAGCCUGAGGCGGCGACGCCGCGUGGGGGAUGAAGGCUUUAGGGUUGUAAACCUCUUUCGCUAUCGAAGGGGUAGGUGGAGAAGAAGCGCCGGCUAACUACGUGCCAGCCGCCGCGGUAAUUC
rnacentral:rRNA from 1 species